rnacentral:rRNA from 1 species
GAUGAACGCUGGCGGCGUGCCUAAUACAUGCAAGUCGAGCGAACGGACGAGAAGCUUGCUUCUCUGAUGUUAGCGGCGGACGGGUGAGUAACACGUGGAUAACCUACCUAUAAGACUUGGAUAACUUCGGGAAACCGUAGCUAAUACCGGAUAAUAUUUUUAACCGCAUGGUUCAAAAGUGAAAGACGGUCUUGCUGUCAUUUCUAGAUGGAUCUGCGCUGCAUUAGCUAGUUGGUAAGGUAACGGCUUACCAAGGCAACGAUGCCUAGCCGACCUGAGAGGGUGUACCGCCACACUGGAACUGGGACACGGUCCAGACUCCUACGGACGGCAGAAGUAGGGACUCUUCCGAGAUGGGCGAAAGCCUGAAGGAGCAACGCCGCGUGAGUGCUGAAGGUCUUCGGAUCGUAUGACUCUGUUAUUAGGGAAGACCAUAUGCGUAAGUAACUGUGCACAUCUUGACGGUACCUAAACAGAAAGCCACGGCUAACUACGUG